rnacentral:sRNA from 2 species
AGCAUUAUUACCGCCAUUCCUUAUCUGGCGGGCUGACCUGUAUCUGUUACCCAAACCCGCCUCCGAGGCGGGUUUU